GGCCAGUAUCUAGUAUUGCCAACCUAGUGGCACUUGAAUCACCCAAGUCCCUCUCUGCUCCAGCCUUACCUGCAACCAGCAGGCUCAGUCCUGUCCGACCAGCCCAAGGGAGAGGGAUCUUGGGGAUUAAAGAAACAGGAACUAACUGCUCUUCUGAGUGCAGUAUGCAAAUUGAUUCAAGAGAGCCCCUGGGACAUGCUGUGCUCAGUGAGCUGAAAUCCCCCCUUUUAGUGCUCUUAUGGUUAGGCCCUGUGGGGGAAUCGGGUUGAGGGGAGUGGGUUUGUUUACUAGCCCUGUAAUCUUGGGCAAGUCUCUUAACCCCCCCGAGACUCAGUUUUUCCAUCUGGUACUCAACCGCUUGAAGGGUUGAUGUAACAAUUAGAGAAAAUGUUUGUAAAAGAAUUAACACAGCGCCCGAUCUGUGAUGAAUACUCAGUAAAAGUUAGCUAGCACCCUCCUCCUCGUUGUUGUUGCUGUGUCCUGCUAACCUCUUUUCCCGAGGCCUUCAUUCUGCCUCCCACAGCCCUUCAAAUACCCCCAGCCACAGGCUUUCUGGAAUCAGGUUGUUUCACCCCCUGAUAAAGAAUUUUGGCACUCUAGCUGAUCUGACCACCAGACUUGCCCACCUCCAGAAAAUGACAUCUCUUCAGACUGGUUCCCUUUACUUCUACCUGAGCUUACCUGAGCGUCUACUUUUCUUUACUUCUAUCUGAGCUUAAACUUUAUGUAUUGGCUAAGGCAAGAACUUUAUGUUUAGGGAGGAGAGUAUAAUUAUGUACUGUAUACCAUAUAUCUGUGGUAAAUUGGGCCCUAUACAAAACAUAUAGAGAACUGUGUUUAUUAACUUUAUUUAGAGUCAGGACACCCAACUCUGGUUAGGUGGUAGUUGGAUAAGUCAGACCUGGGCAGUGGAAGAACCAAAUCACACAAACUAGAAAUUUCCACUUGGCUGAGCUGUAUAAUCUGGGCAGGCCUCAGGUGUGAGUCAGGGGAAGAAAUCUGGAAGGACAAAUGCCAUAUCAGAGGAUAUUUCAUGACUGGUGAUUAUUAGAGGUCCAGGUUGGAGAAAGGCAAUUGUGAUGUAGAAGGCCUAACUUAGGAUUUGUUCACUGAAAAGGAGGCUAGGAGCAGGAGGAGAACAUGAAACAGGAAUUACAUAGAUUUGUGUCAUAAUAGCAAAAACAACAACUAUAUUAGCUUAAUAAUUCUAAUAGCUUGCUAUAUGCCAGUCCCUGUACUUAUAUUAAGAUAUUUACAUAUACUAUCCAUCCAAAUCUCAUUUAAUAGGUAUUAAUAUCAUCUUCAUUUUCCUGAUGAGAAAACUGAGUCUUAGACGAAGUAAUUUGCUCAAGGUUAUAGGCAUGUCAUUAGCAAAGCAGGGAUUUGAAUUUAGAUGUGUUUUUCUCUAAAGCUUGGAUUCAGAUAAAUAGAUCUGGCAGCACUAGAAGAUUAAAUGCAGUGGGGGUUAGGGGGACUGGAUGCACAGUGACCACUAAUGGAGUGACUUUUAGUAUUCAAGAGAGCUAUGAGCAUCUAAAGUAAGGGAGCUGCAGUAGGGAUGGAGAGGAAGAUACACAUACAAGAUCAGGUAGGAAGGUAUACUCCAACAGUGGCUUCCAAAUCUCGAUGAGUAUCAGAUUCUUUGUGGAAGUUCUGUAUAUUUAUUUUUGAAAGUAGAUUCCCACAGCAUACCUCAGGCCUUCUGAAUCAGAAUCUCUGGGGCAGGGCUUCGUAUUUAUACAAAGCACCCUAGUUCUGAAGCUCUGCCAGGUUUAAGAACCACAGAUCUAUUGGCCUUGAUUUAGAUGUUUGGGGUGGAAUAUGAGAGAUGGAAGAUUCUAGGACGACAUCCAAAUUUCUGAAUUUUGUGACUGAGUGAAUUAUGGGCACACUCCACUAAGCUAAGAAAUAGCAAUAGUUUUGAAGGAUAAGAUGCUGAGUUCAGUUUUGGACAUGUUGAGAUGGACCAGUCCUGUGGGGAGUUGGAUACCAGAGUCUAAAGCUUGGAGGAGAGGCCAAGGCUGAAAAUUUAGAUAUGGAGGUCAUUGGUAUUUGGAGGGUGGUUGCUGUAUAUUUUACAUGGAAUUUUCAAAAUAUCCAAACCUUCAAUUUUUUCUCAAUCAUCAAAUAGUCACUCUACAUCUUAAGUACAUUCCCUUUCUGACUCUUUUUCUGACUCUUGACCGAGUCUAUUGUUUUUUAAAUUUAAGUAACCACUUCUUUAUAGCUCCUUCAGAGUCAUGCACUGUUAUAAGUACUUAUUUGCAUCAUCUCAUGGGAUUCAAACCAACCACUUGUUAAAGUAAAAUUUAUUAUCCCUAUAUUUUAGAUGAAGAGAUUUAGGGAGGCUAUGUAAUUUGCCUAAAGUAAUAUAGAAUCAAAUGGUUGAGUCAGAAUUUGAACCUAAGAUUCCUUCUGACUCCCGCUUCAGAGCUUUUUGGCUAUUUCACAAUAGAGCUGUUCCCAGGUCAAGCAGACAAUACUCAUAUUACCUUUGCAAAAGAAGCAAUGCAAUCUACCAUCAGUAAAUUUUACAGGCUAAUUCCAAAGUAUGCUUAAAUACAGAAAAAUACAUUUAGAAAAAAUGAGUUCAAUGUUUUUGGAGGCACGGGAUGCUUAGUAAAUAAUACUUAUUUAAUAAAAUGAGUUUAUGUGUACUUUCCUGGGACCAUUAGGAUUGAACUGAUCAACGUACCUUUUGAACUUUGUCUAAUAGCACAUGGAGUAGUUUACAUUUUCUGUACUCUCAGAGAAAGGGGGUGGGGAGGGGUAUAGUAUUGGUUUUAUGGCUCAGGAAAUUCUGUUGCAUGGUUUGGCCUUCCAGGAUUUUCCCAACUUUGUGUUGUAUAUUCAGAUUUGGGUUGAAAUUAAAAUGGGCUCUUGGUAAGCUCAAGUUGAAAAUAUGUCUCAGCACUAACAUUGUUAUUCUUUAGAUUUGGAUAAAUACAGACAACUGCCACGUCUUCUUGGUAGCACUGCUUGUACCUUUGAUCUCAUUUCAUAACCUCUUGAUUUUGUCCUUCGGUAUUUGGUUGUGAAGACCCUCAGGAGGCGGGAGAGUUCAACGCAAAGAACACAGGAUUUGGGAUCAGAAAGACCCAAGUUCAGAUCUUUGUUCCAUAUUUACCAGUUUUGUAAACUCUAAGAAAUCACUCCCUUUAUUUGGCCCUUAAUUUUAUAUCUUGAAAAUUGGAGUUAAAAAUGUCUGUAUUAUAGAGUUAUUGUUGGGAUGAAAAUCAAAAUAAAUACAAAGAACUUGGCACCCUUUUGGUGCUCAAUCAAUAUUUCAAUAUUUGUUGAAUGGCCAUUUCCUGUCUCCUCAUGUCUGCGACCAGAUCCAAAUUCAGUCAUUUAUUUGAUUCCAUUCAUUCUGGACUGGGGAAUAAAGUCAAGAAUUAUGCUUAGAAAGCAUUUAUAACACUAGUAACUCGAGAGAGGUUUAUAGACCAUCUCAUUUACUGGAGCUAAAGCUAUCUGUCAGGGCCAGAUUAAAACACAGACAAGACCUAUGCACAGGUGAGAUAAAGGUGCCCCUCCACAUAUUCCACAUGUAAGUUAAAAUUUAAAAAAAUAAAAAUGUCUAACAAAGCCCAAUAAUGUUCUUUUUUUUCCCCAUGAUGUCUGCUCUGCAGCUUUUUAAAAAUAUCAAAUUCUUAAAAACAAUAACAACAACCAGUUUUAAAAUUGGUCUGAGAUUGCCCUUGCAGGCCUUUCCUGCUCACAGUAGCUGAGGCAGGUAGAAUAGGGGAGAAGGAUUAUCAACCAAUCAAUGUUUUUUAAACCCCUGAGAUAAAAUUUUUUUGAGAGUUUACUCUAUUUGGACCCUUAAAAAAAAACUGUUAGCUUCCAUCUUCUGUGUGUAUUUUGUCUAUUUGGCCCAGGUUUCUAUUACUUGUGACACUGAAAUAAGAGUUUUCUCCAAUAUUAAUCCUUAGACUUUCUGCAUGUCCCAACUUGUUAAAGUCUUGUGUUAAUGCAAGCUCAUGGCAAACAAUGUGGAUUGAAUACCCAACAGACAUUCCCCUCAUAAUUCCUUGCCAAGAGAACCCCAAUACUGUUCAGUUAUUAGGCCCAUGUUCUUUAUUGAUACCUCCUUAGCCUCAGUGGGUGAAUGAGGAUUAGGUUAAGGCAAUCCUGGUGUAAUUCCUUUUCUUCUUGCUAAUGUUUGAUUUUAUACAGGGGCAAUCUUGCUUGAGAAAUGUGAAGGCAAGUAAUGGAACUUUUAGGUUUCCUUUGCUCUGCAAAUGGACAAAAGGUUCAUACUUUCCUGAAUCUGGUCAUUGUUGGACGAUGACUGGUGCCAUGGAAGCUCUCUUGAGAUCAUGAGAAAAUGAAUAUGAGGACAAAACUGACAUGCUAAGAAUGGCAGAGGAAAAUAUGGCAAGAACCUCGAUCCUUGAUGUCACUGAGUCACUGACUGAAUUUAUGCUGGAACUAUUAGAAAUCAGUCCUUAUUGUUGAAGAUACUUUUAGUCAUGUUUUCUAUUACAAGCAUUUAAAAGCAUCCUAGGUAAUUAAUGUUAAAGGCAUCUCUCACAAUUUUUACUUAUUUUUCAGAAACGCUUACUAGAAAUUGCUAUUGCUGGUUAUAAGAUUUAUUCUAAAUAGAUUGAAUUUUCUAAAAGAUUGUCAAUCUCUCUAAAAAUAAAAGCAUGACUUGAUCAGCAAUUGUUUAGUCUGGUAUUUCUCAAAUUUCUAUUAUUUACAUCCCAGUUUUAUGAUUUUGUCAUAUCCUUGUGUCAUCUAUACUAAUAAAAAUAUUUUUCUUUAA